CACGUAGGGCGCGAGCGUUGUCCGGAAUUAUUGGGCGUAAAGAGCUCGUAGGCGGCCUGUUGCGUCCGCUGUGAAAGCCCGGGGCUUAACCCCGGGUCUGCAUUCGAUACGGGCUAGCUAGAGUGUGGUAGGGGAGAUCGGAAUUCCUGGUGUAGCGGUGAAAUGCGCAGAUAUCAGGAGGAACACCGGUGGCGAAGGCGGUUCUCUGGGCAUUACCUGACGCUGAGGAGCGAAAGUGUGGGGAGCGAACAGG
rnacentral:rRNA from 1 species